CUACGGGCGGCUCCAGUGGGGAAUAUUGCACAAUGGGCGCAAGCCUGAUGCAGCCAUGCCGCGUGUAUGAAGAAGGCCUUCGGGUUGUAAAGUACUUUCAGCGGGGAGGAAGGGAGUAAAGUUAAUACCUUUGCUCAUUGACGUUACCCGCAGAAGAAGCACCGGCUAACUCCGUGCCAGCAGCCGCGGUAAUACGGAGGGUGCAAGCGUUAAUCGGAAUUACUGGGCGUAAAGCGCACGCAGGCGGUUUGUUAAGUCAGAUGUGAAAUCCCCGGGCUCAACCUGGGAACUGCAUCUGAUACUGGCAAGCUUGAGUCUCGUAGAAGGGGGUAGAAUUCCAGGUGUAGCGGUGAAAUGCGUAGAGAUCUGGAGGAAUACCGGUGGCGAAGGCGGCCCCCUGGACGAAGACUGACGCUCAGGUGCGAAAGCGUGGGGAGCAAACAGGAUUAGAUACCCCGGUAGUC
rnacentral:rRNA from 1 species